rnacentral:rRNA from 1 species
AGAGUUUGAUCCUGGCUCAGGACGAACGCUGGCGGCGUGCUUAACACAUGCAAGUCGAACGAUGAAGCCCUUCGGGGUGGAUUAGUGGCGAACGGGUGAGUAACACGUGGGCAAUCUGCCCUUCACUCUGGGACAAGCCCUGGAAACGGGGUCUAAUACCGGAUAACACUCCUGCAGGCAUCUGUGGGGGUUGAAAGCUCCGGCGGUGAAGGAUGAGCCCGCGGCCUAUCAGCUUGUUGGUGAGGUAGAAGCUCACCAAGGCGACGACGGGUAGCCGGCCUGAGAGGGCGACCGGCCACACUGGGACUGAGACACGGCCCAGACUCCUACGGGAGGCAGCAGUGGGGAAUAUUGCACAAUGGGCGAAAGCCUGAUGCAGCGACGCCGCGUGAGGGAUGACGGCCUUCGGGUUGUAAACCUCUUUCAGCAGGGAAGAAGCGAAAGUGACGGUACCUGCAGAAGAAGCGCCGGCUAACUACGUGCCAGCAGCCGCGGUAAUACGUAGGGCGCAAGCGUUGUCCGGAAUUAUUGGGCGUAAAGAGCUCGUAGGCGGUCUGUCACGUCGGAUGUGAAAGCCCGGGGCUUAACCCCGGGUCUGCAUUCGAUACGGGCAGACUAGAGUGUGGUAGGGGAGAUCGGAAUUCCUGGUGUAGCGGUGAAAUGCGCAGAUAUCAGGAGGAACACCGGUGGCGAAGGCGGAUCUCUGGGCCAUUACUGACGCUGAGGAGCGAAAGCGUGGGGAGCGAACAGGAUUAGAUACCCUGGUAGUCCACGCCGUAAACGGUGGGAACUAGGUGUUGGCGACAUUCCACGUCGUCGGUGCCGCAGCUAACGCAUUAAGUUCCCCGCCUGGGGAGUACGGCCGCAAGGCUAAAACUCAAAGGAAUUGACGG